rnacentral:rRNA from 1 species
GCAGCAGUGAGGAAUAUUGCGCAAUGGGGGAAACCCUGACGCAGCGACGCCGCGUGGGUGAUGAAGGCCUUCGGGUCGUAAAGCCCUGUCGGAGGGAAAGAAAGGGUGAGUAGCUAAUACCUAUUCACAUUGACGGUACCCUCAGAGGAAGCACCGGCUAACUCCGUGCCAGCAGCCGCGGUAAUACGGAGGGUGCGAGUGUUAUUCGGAAUCACUGGGCGUAAAGCGAACGUAGGCGGAUAGGCAAGUCAGAUGUGAAAUCCCGGGGCUCAACCUCGGAACUGCAUUUGAUACUGCUUGUCUUGAGUAUGGUAGAGGUGGGUAGAAUUCCCGGUGUAGAGGUGAAAUUCGUAGAUAUCGGGAGGAAUACCAGAGGCGAAGGCGACCCACUGGGCCAUUACUGACGCUGAGGUUCGAAAGCGUGGGUAGCAAACAGGAUUAGAUACCCUGGUAGUCCACGCUGUAAACGAUGAGUACUAGGUGCGGGGGGUAUAAACUCCCUCCGUGUCGUAGCUAACGCGAUAAGUACUCCGCCUGGGAAGUACGGCCGCAAGG